CUAAACGCUGCAAGCUAGGUGUUGCGGAAUCUACGCGAUUCCGCAGUGUCGUAGUGAAGAUGUUAAGCUUGCCACCUGGGAAGUACGUUCGCAAGAAUGAAACUUAAAGGAAUUGGCGGGGGAGCACCACAAGGGGUGCGGCGUGCGGUUUAAUCGAACUCAACGCCGAGAAUCUCACCAGGAGCGACGGCAGGAUGAUAGACAGUCUGAAGGGCUUUCUUGACGAGCCGAGAGGUGGUGCAUGGCCGGCGU
rnacentral:rRNA from 1 species